rnacentral:misc_RNA from 1 species
GAUGAAGAACGCAGUGAAAUGCGAUAAUUAAUGUGAAUUGCAGAAUUUAGUGAAUCAUCGAAUCUUUGAACGCACAUUGCGCCCCUUGGUAUUCCGGGGGGCAUGCCUGUUCGAGCGUCAUUUCAACCCUCAAGCUCUGCUUGGUCUUGGGCCGCGCCGGCAACUGCGGGCCUCAAAAACAGUGGCGGCGCCAUCUGGUCCCUCAGCGUAGUAAUUCUUCUCGCUGCUGGGCCCCGGUGGCCGCUUGCCAGCAACCCCAAACUUUCUAUGGUUGACCUCGGAUCAGGUAGGGAUACCCGCUGAACUUAAGCAUAUCAAUAAGCGGAGGA